GCCGUGAUCGUAUAGUGGUUAGUACUCUGCGUUGUGGUCGCCGCAACCCCGGUUCGAAUCCGGGUCACGGCA
rfam:Gasterosteus aculeatus cont1.000670, whole genome shotgun sequence.